AUUGAACGCUGGCGGCAUGCCUUACACAUGCAAGUCGAACGGCAGCACGGGGGCAACCCUGGUGGCGAGUGGCGAACGGGUGAGUAACAUAUCGGAACAUACCCUAGAGUGGGGGAUAACGUAGCGAAAGUUACGCUAAUACCGCAUACGAUCUAAGGAUGAAAGUGGGGGAUCUUCGGACCUCAUGCUCAUGGAGUGGCCGAUAUCUGAUUAGCUAGUUGGUGAGGUAAAGGCUCACCAAGGCGACGAUCAGUAGCUGGUUUGAGAGAACGACCAGCCACACUGGAACUGAGACACGGUCCAGACUCCUACGGAGGCAGCAGUGGGGAAUUUUGGGACAAUGGGGGCAACCCUGAUCCAGCAAUGCCGCGUGAGUGAAGAAGGCCUUCGGGUUGUAAAGGCUCUUUUGUUCUAGGGAAGGAAACGGGUAGGAGGUUCUAAUACAGACUUG
rnacentral:rRNA from 1 species